CAGCAGACACAUUCCAGCCAAUCAGCAGCAGACCCUCCCUCCCAGACCCUCCCACCUCCAGGACAGCAUCCAUUUUACAUUCAUUGUGAAGCUGCAUUCUUAGUGAGCUGUCCAGGAGGAGGGAGGGUCUGGGAGGGAGGGUCUGCUGCUGAUUGGCUGGAAUGUGUCUGCUG
rnacentral:miRNA from 1 species